UAGAGUUUGAUCAUGGCUCAGGAUGAACGCUAGCUACAGGCUUAACACAUGCAAGUCGAGGGGCAGCAUUUCAGUUUGCUUGCAAACUGGAGAUGGCGACCGGCGCACGGGUGAGUAACACGUAUCCAACCUGCCGAUAACUCGGGGAUAGCCUUUCGAAAGAAAGAUUAAUACCCGAUGGCAUAAUUAGACCGCAUGGUCUUAUUAUUAAAGAAUUUCGGUUAUCGAUGGGGAUGCGUUCCAUUAGGCAGUUGGUGAGGUAACGGCUCACCAAACCUUCGAUGGAUAGGGGUUCUGAGAGGAAGGUCCCCCACAUUGGAACUGAGACACGGUCCAAACUCCUACGGGAGGCAGCAGUGAGGAAUAUUGGUCAAUGGACGAGAGUCUGAACCARCCAAGUAGCGUGAAGGAUGACUGCCCUAUGGGUUGUAAACUUCUUUUAUAUGGGAAUAAAGUUUUCCACGUGUGGAAUUUUGUAUGUACCAUAUGAAUAAGGAUCGGCUAACUCCGUGCCAGCAGCCGCGGUAAUACGGAGGAUCCGAGCGUUAUCCGGAUUUAUUGGGUUUAAAGGGAGCGUAGGUGGACAGUUAAGUCAGUUGUGAAAGUUUGCGGCUCAACCGUAAAAUUGCAGUUGAUACUGGCUGUCUUGAGUACAGUAGAGGUGGGCGGAAUUCGUGGUGUAGCGGUGAAAUGCUUAGAUAUCACGAAGAACUCCGAUUGCGAAGGCAGCUCACUGGACUGCAACUGACACUGAUGCUCGAAAGUGUGGGUAUCAAACAGGAUUAGAUACCCUGGUAGUCCACACAGUAAACGAUGAAUACUCGCUGUUUGCGAUAUACAGUAAGCGGCCAAGCGAAAGCAUUAAGUAUUCCACCUGGGGAGUACGCCGGCAACGGUGAAACUCAAAGGAAUUGACGGGGGCCCGCACAAGCGGAGGAACAUGUGGUUUAAUUCGAUGAUACGCGAGGAACCUUACCCGGGCUUAAAUUGCAUUUGAAUAAUCUGGAAACAGGUUAGCCGCAAGGCAAAUGUGAAGGUGCUGCAUGGUUGUCGUCAGCUCGUGCCGUGAGGUGUCGGCUUAAGUGCCAUAACGAGCGCAACCCUUAUCUUUAGUUACUAACAGGUCAUGCUGAGGACUCUAGAGAGACUGCCGUCGUAAGAUGUGAGGAAGGUGGGGAUGACGUCAAAUCAGCACGGCCCUUACGUCCGGGGCUACACACGUGUUACAAUGGGGGGUACAGAAGGCAGCUACCUGGUGACAGGAUGCUAAUCCCAAAAGCCUCUCUCAGUUCGGAUCGAAGUCUGCAACCCGACUUCGUGAAGCUGGAUUCGCUAGUAAUCGCGCAUCAGCCAUGGCGCGGUGAAUACGUUCCCGGGCCUUGUACACACCGCCCGU
rnacentral:rRNA from 1 species